rnacentral:sRNA from 1 species
AAUAUUUCAAAAUGGACCCGGUUCUGUGGCGGGUGCGAGAGUGAGGCUGUGGGGGACCUCCAGGCUGAACCUCCGCGAAGCCUCGCGGCUUCUGCGUGCCCUGGCCCCGGGAGGAUAAGGAUUUCCCUUCCCUCCUACUUGCGCGCGGAGCCGAGCUCUUGUUGAGGUGAGGGUUCCGGAAGCCUACGCAGCUCCGCAGGUCGGUGGUGGCCGCGGCUGCCCUGCGGGGGUGAGUGUGCCCGGCCGGGGUCGGAGCCCAGCGUGUGCCCGGCAGACGGCGGUGCCCGCGCGCCCCUCCCUCCGCGCCCGCGGUGACAGCCCAGACGCCAGCCCGGGCGCUGACAGACGACUUUUCUCACUUGUCAGUUUUCUCGCUUGUCAGCAGAGCUGCUGCCCGGGACCAUGGCUGGUUCCCGCAGCUGCCUCCGGGGCGCACCUGGGGCCGUGGUUUCCCGCGAUCGGAGUCCGCUCUAAGUCGGAGUCUGGGGGCGCAGAAGGGGGAGCGCGCCGAGAAAGUGCCCGGCAAACGCGCGCCGCGCC